UUUCUCUCCCUUUGGGUUCUGGCAGCAAGAACUGAUGUAGUUUUCAUUACUUCUUGUAAUUGUGACAAAACUUUCCACUAGUUUGGCAAUUUAUUUAAUAAAAGAAACCAUUUACUUAAGUAUUGUGCAAGAAAAUAUUCUUUUACAUUAACUGACAAAGUUUCAGGAAUCUUUUCACAUCCGAUAGCUUUUGAUUCCAGGCAUAAACACUUCCAGAAUCUACCUUUUACUAUGAGGGUUUCAUAAGAGAGGGCCCUCGUAUUUACGAUGACAAUGUCUCAUGUUCAUUCCGGCACAACCAUUUAAAGUUUUUGUUAACACUCAAAUGAUAAAAUAAAUUAACUUAUCAUUCAGGAAAGAAUAAUAUAAAAAUAAAAGGACUUUGAUUUAUUCCCUCUAUCUUUAAAAGUAUAUUUACAUAAACAUUCAUUUGCUUAAGUAAAUAAAGGUUCCAAUACAUGUGGCUAACUUGUACAACUUAUUUCUGUGAGGCUGAUCAUGUAGUCACCGGCCCUGAUAAGAUAUUGAUCCUGGUUCUACUGGUCCCUGUCUUUAUAACACUUUUACUGCUUUGAUAUGUAUUAUUCCCACCAAUGUUCAGAUUCUAAGUGUGAGAAUUAGAACACUGAGGUCUUGCAUUCGUCGAUGACAUAUCGUAGUAUCUUUACAUUAUUGCCUUAUUAAUAGAAAUAACUUGGGGAUGGUUAAAUAAUCUACUUCCAGAUGUUAACAAGCCAAAGAUUACUUAACCAUCCACAAGUUGUUUGCCUCACGAGUUGAUCUACAUAAAACUAUUUCUGGAAGUCCCUCAUUUGUCGACGACCCUUCCUUCAUAGUAUGCUUUAUAUUGUUGCCUCAUUAAAAACCUUGCUAGAAAAAUAUAAUUGGGAUAAAAACUGGUCGAAGAGAAAAGGAGUGUAGAGCAUACUUUUAGUACCAGCAAGGAUCUUUAGCAAUAUUACCUUUUGAGGUGGGUCAUAUUCCAAUUGCUUGGCAAUUUGACUCCAUCUUGAUCUUCCAAUUCAUACGAACAUUUACCAGUUAUAGCUGAAAUCUGAUAAGUUCUUUCCCAUGUUGGUCCCAGCUUCCCAACAUUAACGUUUCAAGUACUUUGAGUGACUUUUCUUAGGACCAAAUCCCCAACUUUGAAAUAUCAUAGAUUCUCUCUGCGGUUAAAAUACAUUUGCAUCAUUUGCUUUUGUGCCAUUAUCCUUACAUACGCCAGAUCCCCAUGCUCUUCAAGCAAAUCUAAUUUAUCCAGCAAUGAUUCAUUGUUUGCUUUUUCUUUUGCUCGGAAAAACCCUAUGUUCAGUUCCCCCACUUCCAUCGGUAUCAAAGACUUUUAAUUGUAUACAAGUGAAAAGGGUGUUUUAUACGUGCUCGACUUUGUCGUGGUCUGGUAUGCCCAUAACAUACCCGGUAGCUCAUCUGGAAACUUGACUUUAGCAUCUUCUAACUUCUUUUAAGGUUUGAAUAAUUACCUUGUUAGUCGACUCCACCUGUCCAUUAGCACUCGAGUGGUAUGGUAAAGAUGUAACUCGUUUGAUCUUCAAUCCUUCCAAAAACUUUGUCAGUUUGGAAACUAUGAAUUGUGGUCCAUUGUCACAAGUUAUUUCUAUUGGUUUUCCGAAUUGGUAAAUUAUGGUCCUAUAUAAAAUUGACCAUCUCUCAUUAUUCGAUCUUUUGGUAAGCACAUGCUUCAACUUAUUUAGUAAAAUAAUAAUUUAAAACCAAAAGAAAUUUUACCUUACCAGGUUCUAGUGGCAAGGGACCCACUAUGUCCAUCCCCCAUUUCAUAAAUGGCCACGGUGACACCACCGAAUGCAAAAGUUCUACAUAUCAAUGCACUAACUGUGCAUGACGCUGACAUUUAUCACACUUUUGUAGAAUUAUCUUUGCAUCUUGCUACAUCCGGGGUCAAUAGUAGCCAGCUCUGACUAACUUGAGAAUUAAUUAGUCUACACCAGAAUGGUUCCGGAAUACUCCUUCAUGAACUUCCAUCAUCACAUAGUCAGCCUCCGAGGCCCCUAGACACAAAUCUAGUGCCCCUUGGAACGAUCUCAUGUAUAACUGUCAAUCAAAAAGAUAGUAACGAGUCACCUUGGUCCGUAGUGCCAAGGAUUCUUUUGGGUCUUCUAGAAAUUUGCCAUGUCUUAGAUAUUCAAUGAACUCGUUCCUCCGGUCCCAUAUUAAGUUGGUUGAAUUAAUUUCACAGUAGCUGUCCACGCCCAACACCGAAUAUAGUAAUUGAACGAAUAUACCAGAAUCAGAUCCUUCCAUCUCUGUGGAUGAACCCAAAUUGGCCAAUGCGUCUGCCUUCAAAUUUUCCUCCCUUGGAAUGUGGACGAUUGACCACUCUGUGAAUCGUGUAAGUAAUGGUUGAACCUUGUUCAAGUUCUGUUGCAUGCGCUACUCCUUGGUGUCGAAAAUUCUAUACACUUGGUUUACCACCAACUGGAAUCGCAUUUUAUCUCGAUGACCUUGGAACCUAGUCCCCGAGCUAGUUCAAGUUCUGCAACCAAAGCCUCGUACUCGGCUUUAUUGUUAGUUAAUGGUAAAAUUCUAUUGGCCUUCCUUAGGGUUUCCCCCAAAUGAGUGAUUAAAAUUACACCAAAACCGGACCCUUUUACGUUGGAGGCUCCAUUUGUAAACAAGAUCAGACUCUCUAUACCAUUCCCGAUACCAACAAUGCUUCUUUAGCAGUAAAGGCAUUAAUUCCGAACUGAAAUCAGUCACGAAGUCGGCCUAAACUUGUUACUUAAUUGCAGUCUUGGGCUUGUAUUCAAUAUAGAAUUCACUAACUUCGACCACCUACUUAGCCAAAUGACCUGACAACUCAGGCUUAUGAAGGACAUUCCUUAACGAAAAGGUUGUCACAAUGGCUAUUAGAUGACAUUAAAAAUAUGGUCUAAGCUUCUAAGAGGCAACUACGAGAGCUAAGGCCAGCUUUUCAAGGUGCGGAUAACGUGUAUCCGCUCCUGAUAAUAUUUUACUAAUAUAAUAAAUGGGAAAUUGCAUACCAUCUUCUUCCCGGACCAAAACGGCACUUACCACUACUUUUGAGACCGCUAGAUAAAUCAAUAGUUGCUCACCUUCUCCUAAUUUCUACAACAACGGAGGGCUAGAUAGGUACCUUUUUAGGUCUUUAAGUGCAUAUUGGUAUUCCGGAGUCCAUACGAUGUCAUUCUUUUUUUUCAAAAGCAAAAAAAAAAUGAUGGAACUUUUACGAAGACCUCGAGAUGAACCUUCUUAGAGAUACCAAUCUACCGGUCAACAUCUUUAUUCCUUCACGCCUGUCAGCUGGUCUGGGAUAUUCUCGAUGGAUUUGAUUUUAUUGGGGUUUACCUUAAUUCCUCUUUGAGAGACCAAAAACCCCAGGAACUUAUCGGAACCCACUCCGAAGGCAUAUUUCUUCAGGUUGAGAUUCAUGUUGUACUUUUUCAGAAUGUCAAACGUCCCUUAGAGAUGUUCCAGUUGAUCUCCUGCAUAAAGAGACUUAACUAGCAUGUCGUCGAUAUAAGCUUCCAUCGUCUUACCUAUCUAUUUUUUAAAUAUCUUAUUAGCGAGCCUCUAAUAAGUGGCUCCCGUAUUUUUAAUCCCACAAGGCAUCACAUUAUAGCAAUAUGUGGUAAAGUUUGUGAUGAAAGAAUUCUUCUUUUAAUUUUCUGGGUCCAUCGUAAUUUGAUAAUACCCGAAAUAAGCAUCAAGAAAACUCAUCAACUCGUGCCUGGCUGCAGCAUUGAUCAUUUGAUCAAUGUUCGGCAAUAGGAAAAAGUCUUUGGGGCACACUUUAUUUAAAUUCUUAUCAUCUACACACAUCCUAAAUUUUCUAUUCUUUUUAGGCACUACUACGUUAGCUAUCCACUUCGAGUACUUUACCUCUCGAAUUGAACUGAUGUUAAGUAAUCGGGUUACCUCUUCCUUAACAAACCUGUUUUUGACCUUUGCUAUCAAUUGUUUCUUCUGCCUUACCGGGGGGAAGUUUGGAUCCAGACUAAGUUUGGAGACCUCCAAAUCCAAUGGAAAAUUUGUCAUAUCUGAAUGCAACCAUGAAAAGCAAUCAACGUUAGAUUUAAAAAAAUCUAUAAGUUUCAACCUGAGUUCGGGACUCAACCCCGUUCCUAAAUGAAAUUUUCUUUCCAGAAAUUCUUCAAACAAAGCCACUUGUUUGAGCUCUUCUGCGGUUAACUUGGUUGCAUCCAUCUUUUCUGGUACCUGAAAAGACCUUGGUGCCUGAUAUAAUUCUGAUGACUUCUCGUUUUUAUCAUCUACAAUUGGGAUGGGAGAAGGCAUUGGUUCCUGUAGUUGCUAUUUGCUGGUUUCUUUGCCCUUGCUGCUGGAAAUGGUUACUGUGUUCAUCUCCCUUACAGCAGAUUGAUCUCCUCUGAUCUGCUUGAUCCCUUCUAGUGUUGGAAACUUUAACAGUUAAUGGUAUGUGAAGGUACGACCUUCAUUUUGAUGUAUCCACGGUCUUCCAAAGAUUAUAUUAUAGACCAUGUCGCCAUUUACCACUUCAAACAGGGUGGUCUUUGCUACACCUUCAGCAUGUGUGGGCAGAAAAAUUUCUCCUCGGGUUGUUAUACUUGUUAUGUUGAAGCCAGCUAAAAGCUUUGUUGAUGGAAUGAUAUUCCCAGUUAACUUUGCUUCUCUCCAUUGUAUGAUAUUGGUUGAACUUCCUGGAUCAACCAAAAUACGCUUAAUACUAAAAUCUAAAAUAUUAAAAGAAAUUACCAAAGCAUCAUUUUGCGGUAGGAUAAGUCCAUCGGCAUCUUCCAUCGUGAAGGUGAUGUCAUCUUUUGAGACUUCUCGGAUCCUCUUGCCAUGAGUCACUGAUAUAUUCGUCUUAUUUGCUGGCAAAAAUGUCACCCCAUUUACUUUGUCUCCUCUGAAGAUCAUGUUGAUUGUCAUUCGAGGUGACCCUUCUGCUGGUUUUAAUGGUUAUGUAAUAUCCCUAUUUCUCUUAGAGUUGUUUUUGGUGCGAUCGCUUAACAAUUCCCCGAGGUGACCAUUCUUUAACAAUAUUUCCACCUCUUCAUGAAGAUGUCGGCAGUCCCCAGUCCUAUUAUCGUGAGUCCCAUAGAAUUCACACCAUAGAUUAGGAUCCCUUUGGCUAGGAUCCGAUCAGAUCGAUUUUGGGAACCUAAAUUCUUUAAUAUUUCUCAUGGGCGACACUAGUUCCACUAGGGUGAUACUAAAAUUGUAAUUAAACAACCGGGGAUACGCUGAAUCUUAGGAUCAUGGCACCUUUUUCUCCUACAACAAUCUGUUACUCCGGCCAUGAUCCAUCCUUCUAUCGCAAAUAAACCUAUUCGAUGACUGGAAUCCUUUAUUAUCGUGCCCUUCGGCCUUCUCAUAAGGCUGAAAAUGACUUCUAGAGUGUAUUCGAUCUAUAUCAAAAUCAUUUUUAAACUUAUCUUGAUUUCAAUCACGAUUCCGUCCUUUGGAAGACACCGUGGAACCAAGUCGACCAUCUUCACUUCUGAUCUUUGACUCAUAGAGAUAUUAAACAUCUGCCCAUAUGGUUGCCUGAAUUUCGAGCAAGCUCUCCUGCAAUUUUUGUGAGUUAUCGGAGCUUAAUAGGUUGAGACCCUUUGUAAAUGCCUCCGUUGCCCACUCAUCUUGAACCGCAGAUAACAACAUCAUUUCUUUCCGGAACCAGAUCACAAACUCUCUUAACAAUUUAGCUUUUCUUUAAGAUAUCAUGAAUAUAUCCACCUUCCUUGCUUGGACCUUUCUUGCUCCAGCAUUAUCUUUGAUAAACGAAUCUACAAGCAUUUCAAAAGGGUCAAUAGAAUGUUUUGAUAAGAGGGAAUACCAGGCUAAGUCACCAUUCGUAAGGGUUUCACCAAACUUCUUCAACAAAACCGAUUCGAUGUAAUGCUGGGCCAAGUUGUUUUCCUUUACUGUCGUAGUGUAGGUCAUAUCAUGAUGUGCUCCUGUGGAUCCGAAGUCACAUCAUAUUUUGGUAUAUCCAACAUCUUAAACCUCUUUGGGAUUAACUUCGAUGCAGCACAUAGUUUAAACAGCAACUACAUAUACUUCUUUAAAUCUGAUCCUUUUAACAUCGGCGGCACCCCCGUGAUAUGAUCCAUCAGAGCGAAAUUCCUUUGCAUUCUAAUCCAUUCAUUCAUUCAUUUCUCUCAUUAAUCUUAUGAGCUCGGUUUUGAAAGGGUUAUUUAAAUUGUUGUUCGCAAAUUCACUACCGGUACCUCUGGCCUCGUCGAAAUUGACCUCCUCUCUUGGUGUGUCGUUAUCAGUUCCUUGAGUCGUUUGCUUUACGAGAAUGCUGGGAGGAAUCGGGGCCCUUCCAUUAGCAUUAUUAGAAGCUCCCCAUACUACAUGUUUCAAUUUUGUCAUCACCCAAUCUUGCCUUGAGAGGCGAUCCAUAAUUGCCUUUUUCUAUUCCCUCAAGAUUUUGACUAUUUCAACAACGUGCUCAUCCUUUGCAUCAUCAAGAGUUGGGCCCCGCACAUGUCGAGGAUACAGACCUUCGCGAACUAGGUUGUUUCAUCCCCUUCGUUGUGGGGCUCACUGAUUGAAUCAUCACGCGUGAACACAUCUUCUUGUUGACCGUGUACUCCAACAUUUUAAACAAUAUUGACAUCAUUAGCUGUCAUACCUUAUCUUUCUUUUUCUAAGGAAGGAAUCAAAAUUUGUCAGUAAUAGAUAAAUAGAUCAAAGCAAUUACACAAUUGUCAAUGCCCCACAGUGGACGCCAAACUGUUUACCCAUAAAAUGAUAUAGUUAGAUUUGUAACGUAGUUUAUAGACAAAUAAAUCGAUUUGGUCCUAAAGUACGAAAACAAUAAUAACCGAAACAAGAAUACGAAAUAAAACUAAUGGAAACACAAGCCCGAGUAUGAAUUUAGCCUUUCCAAUGGCAAAAAGAGAACAUUAUUCAAGAACAAAGACUGAGAACAAUAUUAUAAAAUGGGAGCAGAAUAUAGCUUUUUUGUGUACAAAAUAUUUCCACCCCUACAAUGGAUGCUAAUCCUCCUACUUACAGCUCUGUUCUGGGAGACAAGAUCCUCAAAUCAAGUUCCUCUUGAAUGAGAAUAAAACCGUCAUUGAUGGCUGCAUAAUUGUUGGCUAUAAAUGCAUAUAUUCUUUGUAACAGUUGCUCGUUGAAUGUUAUCUAAUGAAAAUGCUUUGAAUCUUCAUUAUUAAUUGGCUACUCCGUCUUCGAGAUUCAUUCAGUAUCGAUUGCAUGAUUACAUCUGGUGCCAGCUGUUUGCUGACUCACGUCCCAUCUAUCUUUUGUUCCAUGCGUCACUUCGUCAUUCGCCCAACUAUCAUUAACCGAUUUUGCCCCAUACAGGUGUAGCUUUGAUUAUCGACACACAAGUUGAGGCUGACUCCAGUAUAUUGAGGCCAAAGGCACAGACAUAUAUAGGACUAGGACUAAACCGUGUAUUUCCGAGAAAAACUUAUAUACAUACGAUACCUAAUUCAAAACAUAGGAAAAUGGUAAUUUGUUUAGUCUUUUUCCCGUUCUUUUCCCUUUUUGAAUGAUUUUAGAAGUUUAAUUGUAUUCUAAAGACUAAACAUCAAUCCUCCCACGAUACUUGAGUUUUGAAGGUUACGUGGGUGGCAUACAUAAGUUCGUUGCUCAUUCUUCAAUUGUCAUUAUCUUUUUUUGUUGUUUCUAUCGUCACUUCCUUUUCUUUGUUGCAUUAUAGUGUUUGAUCUAAUUCUUAAUGUUAGCUAGAAAAAAUGGACAGCAAUGAGGUGUUAUAUAUAUNNNNNNNNNNNNNNNNNNNNNNNNUAUAUUAGUUAGUUAAAGCGGUUAAUGAAAAAAAAAGUUUGAUAUCACUAAACAACUCAAUAAAUGAAUAUGCAUGCGAGUCAUCUAUCAUAUCCGUAUAACAAUUAAGCAUUGGUUGAUUUUCGCCACUUGGAAUUAAAAAUUUACGUAACAAACUUCCUUCAUGCAAAGAGGUGUGAACAUUGGAUUAGAACUCGUACACACUGGACAAACAAAUUAGUCCCCACAUCAACUAACUCAAGUUCCAAACUCAUAGGCUAGCUAGUUAUAACCAACACUUAUAAAUACCACUCAAUAUUAACAAGAGAAAACAUCCCAACAGCACCCAAGUAUCUUGUACUACUACUUUUUCAAAACUCAUCUGCCAUCACUUUUAUUACCAAAAUGGCUGAAGAGAAGAAGCACCACUUCGGUCUCUUCCACCACAAGGACAAGGAGGAAGACAAAACUACCUAUGGAGAAACUCCAUAUGGUGGUGAUACUGAAAAAACUACCUAUGGAGAGAAUACAUAUGAAGAGAAAACUAGUUAUGGUGGGGGAGAUAACUAUGGGGAUAACAAAUAUGGUGAGAAAACUGGCUAUGGAGAAAGUGGAUAUGGAGAGAAAACUAGUUAUGGUGAGGGAGGUAACUAUGGAGAUAGUGGCUAUGAAAAUAAGACUAGCUAUGGAGAUAGUGGCUAUGAAAAUAAGACUAGUUAUGGAGAUAGCGGCUAUGAAAACAAGACUGGCUAUGGAGAUAUUCCAUCUGAUACUACCUAUGGAGAGAAAACUAAUUAUGGUGAAGGAGAUACCUAUGGAAAAGGAGCUGCCUACUCAUCUGAGACCACUAAUUUUGAAGAGACUACUGAUGAAGGCAAAACUGGUGAGGAUUAUGAGAAAGAGAAAAAGCACCACAAGCAUCUUGAACACGUGGGAGGGCUUGGGGCUGCUGCUGCUGGUGCCUUUGCCUUGGUAAUUUUUCACACAAUGUUUUAUGUUACAGUUUUAACUUUUAUAUCCUUGUGGUCCAGUCCUUCCCCGGACCCCGCGCAUAACGGAAACUCAGUGCAUCGGACUGCCUUUAUUGUCGUAUCAGUAAAGUUACAAAAUUAUGUUAAUUAAAGUCAUUGAACUUUACCUAUUGUAUCAGCUAAGUCACAAAAUUAUUUGUUGUCUCAUAAAAGUCAUUGACAAUUUGUUAGUUGUCUAGAAAAUACAAUUCACUAGAAAGUCAAAUUUUUUAAUAAAAAUUGAUAUUAGUAGCCAAGAGAAUAAGAGAAACUACUACUCUUUCCGUCUCACUUCAUGUGAAGGUGUUUGACUGGACAUGAAAUUUAAGAAAUAAAGAAAAAAAUUUGAAACUUGUGGUUUAAAAUAAUUUAUAGAAAUUUAUUUGGCUAAAAAUUAUCUCAUUAAGGGUAAAAGAAAAAAUUUAAAAUUAAGUUGUUACUAAAUAUAGAAAUGUGUCAUUUU
rnacentral:lncRNA from 1 species